AACGCACCUUGCACCCUUUGGUAUUCCGAAGGGUAUGCCUGUUUGAGUGUCUUGAACAUCUCAAAUGCCCAAUGUUUUGUUUAAAACGUCGUGGUAUUUGGUUUUUGAGCAUUGCCAAUUUAAAUGCUAUUGGCUUGCUUUAAAUGAAUUAGCUGGGCGCAUUUACAAGUUAAGUCUCACAAGCGUAAUAAUCUUAUUUCGUUUGGUUCUUUUUCUUCUCUUUGCAAAGAGGGAGGGAAAAGGGGGGCUGUUUGUGUAAAUCGUUUGCUUCUGAGCAUACAUAUCUCAUUUCAUCAGACCUCAAAUCAGGUAGGACUACCCGCUGAACUUAA
rnacentral:misc_RNA from 1 species